rnacentral:rRNA from 1 species
AUUGAACGCUGGCGGCAGGCCUAACACAUGCAAGUCGAGCGGUAGAGAGAAGCUUGCUUCUCUUGAGAGCGGCGGACGGGUGAGUAAUACCUAGGAAUCUGCCUGAUAGUGGGGGAUAACGUUCGGAAACGGACGCUAAUACCGCAUACGUCCUACGGGAGAAAGCAGGGGACCUUCGGGCCUUGCGCUAUCAGAUGAGCCUAGGUCGGAUUAGCUAGUUGGUGAGGUAAUGGCUCACCAAGGCUACGAUCCGUAACUGGUCUGAGAGGAUGAUCAGUCACACUGGAACUGAGACACGGUCCAGACUCCUACGGGAGGCAGCAGUGGGGAAUAUUGGACAAUGGGCGAAAGCCUGAUCCAGCCAUGCCGCGUGUGUGAAGAAGGUCUUCGGAUUGUAAAGC